rnacentral:lncRNA from 1 species
GUUAAGGCAGAACAGUGCGAAACUUCAACCUAGGAUAAGGGCAAAGACAAGGCUAUGGAGUAACUUUUACACUAUAAUUUGAAUCUUAUGGCUAUGUAUUAAACUUAAGGUUGGUUAUGUAAUAAGACCUAAGUGUGGUUAUGUAUUAAGAAUUAAUUAAUGGUAUGUAUUAAACUAUGUUUUGGAAUAAGUUAUGAAGCGUAUUAGUAAUAGUUUCAAGACUUGGGAUGAGA